GAUGAAGAACGCAGCGAAAUGCGAUACUUGGUGUGAAUUGCAGAAUCCCGUGAACCAUCGAGUCUUUGAACGCAAGUUGCGCCCGAAGCCGUCAGGCCGAGGGCACGCCUGCCUGGGCGUCACACGCCGUUGCCCCCCCGCGCCCCGCACCCAACUCUUUGGGAGCGACCGCGGGGCGGGCUGAUGAUGGCCUCCCGUGCGCUCCGCCGCGCGGUUGGCCCAAAUACCGAGUCCCCGGCGACGCGCGCCACGACGCUCGGUGGUUGAGAGACCUCUGUCGCAAGUCGUGCGCGCCCGUCGCGUCACGCGGGCUCGCAUAGCGCCUCGCGCCGCACCCGGUGCGGAGCUUUCAACGCGACCCCAGGUCAGGCGGGGUUACCCGCUGAAUUUAAGCAUAUCAAUAAGCGGAGGA
rnacentral:misc_RNA from 1 species